AUUGAACGCUGGCGGCAUGCUUUACACAUGCCAGUCGAACGGCAGCGCGGGCUUCGGCCUGGCGGCGAGUGGCGAACGGGUGAGUAAUACAUCGGAACGUGCCCAGUAGUGGGGGAUAGCUCAGCGAAAGCCGGAUUAAUACCGCAUAUGACCUGAGGGGGAAAGCGGGGGAUCUUCGGACCUCGCGCUAUUGGAGCGGCCGAUGGCAGAUUAGCUAGUUGGUGGGGUAAAGGCCUACCAAGGCGACGAUCUGUAGCUGGUCUGAGAGGACGACCAGCCACACUGGGACUGAGACACGGCCCAGACUCCUACGGGAGGCAGCAGUGGGGAAUUUUGGACAAUGGGCGAAAGCCUGAUCCAGCAAUGCCGCGUGUGUGAUGAAGGCCUUCGGGUUGUAAAGCACUUUUGGCGGGAACGAAAAGGACUGUGCCAAUACCACGGUUCGAUGACGGUACCCGCAGAAUAAGCACCGGCUAACUACGUG
rnacentral:rRNA from 1 species